UUAAGCGACUAAGCGUACACGGUGGAUGCCCUGGCAGUCAGAGGCGAUGAAGGACGUGCUAAUCUGCGAAAAGCGCCGGCGAGGUGAUAUGAACCCUUGACCCGGCGAUGUCCGAAUGGGGAAACCCAGUGCAAUCCGUUGCACUAUCGUUAACUGAAUACAUAGGUUAACGAGGCGAACCGGGGGAACUGAAACAUCUAAGUACCCCGAGGAAAAGAAAUCAACCGAGAUUCCCCCAGUAGCGGCGAGCGAACGGGGAGCAGCCCGGAGUCUGAAUCAGCUUGUGUGUUAGUGGAACGGUCUGGAAAGUCCGACGGUACAGGGUGAUAGUCCCGUACACGAAAGCACACUUGCUGUGAACUCGAAGAGUAGGGCGGGACACGUGGUAUCCUGUCUGAAUAUGGGGGGACCAUCCUCCAAGGCUAAAUACUCCUGACUGACCGAUAGUGAACCAGUACCGUGAGGGAAAGGCGAAAAGAACCCCGGCGAGGGGAGUGAAAAAGAACCUGAAACCGUGUACGUACAAGCAGUGGGAGCACCUUCGUGGUGUGACUGCGUACCUUUUGUAUAAUGGGUCAGCGACUUAUAUUCUGUAGCAAGGUUAACCGUAUAGGGGAGCCGAAGGGAAACCGAGUCUUAACUGGGCGUUAAGUUGCAGGGUAUAGACCCGAAACCCGGUGAUCUAGCCAUGGGCAGGUUGAAGGUUGGGUAACACUAACUGGAGGACCGAACCGACUAAUGUUGAAAAAUUAGCGGAUGACCUGUGGCUGGGGGUGAAAGGCCAAUCAAACCGGGAGAUAGCUGGUUCUCCCCGAAAGCUAUUUAGGUAGCGCCUCGUGAACUCAUCUUCGGGGGUAGAGCACUGUUUCGGCUAGGGGGCCAUCCCGGCUUACCAACCCGAUGCAAACUACGAAUACCGAAGAAUGUUAUCACGGGAGACACACGGCGGGUGCUAACGUCCGUCGUGAAGAGGGAAACAACCCAGACCGCCAGCUAAGGUCCCAAAGUCAUGGUUAAGUGGGAAACGAUGUGGGAAGGCACAGACAGCCAGGAUGUUGGCUUAGAAGCAGCCAUCAUUUAAAGAAAGCGUAAUAGCUCACUGGUCGAGUCGGCCUGCGCGGAAGAUGUAACGGGGCUAAACCAUGCACCGAAGCUGCGGCAGCGACACUAUGUGUUGUUGGGUAGGGGAGCGUUCUGUAAGCCGUUGAAGGUGUGCUGUGAGGCAUGCUGGAGGUAUCAGAAGUGCGAAUGCUGACAUAAGUAACGAUAAAGCGGGUGAAAAGCCCGCUCGCCGGAAGACCAAGGGUUCCUGUCCAACGUUAAUCGGGGCAGGGUGAGUCGACCCCUAAGGCGAGGCCGAAAGGCGUAGUCGAUGGGAAACAGGUUAAUAUUCCUGUACUUGGUGUUACUGCGAAGGGGGGACGGAGAAGGCUAUGUCAGCCGGGCGACGGUUGUCCCGGUUUAAGCAUGUAGGCGGAGGUUCCAGGUAAAUCCGGUACCUUGUUAACGCUGAGGUGUGAUGACGAGGCACUACGGUGCUGAAGUGAUAAAUGCCCUGCUUCCAGGAAAAGCCUCUAAGCAUCAGGUAACACGAAAUCGUACCCCAAACCGACACAGGUGGUCAGGUAGAGAAUACCAAGGCGCUUGAGAGAACUCGGGUGAAGGAACUAGGCAAAAUGGUGCCGUAACUUCGGGAGAAGGCACGCUGAUGUGUAGGUGAAGUCCCUGCGGACGGAGCUGAAAUCAGUCGAAGAUACCAGCUGGCUGCAACUGUUUAUUAAAAACACAGCACUGUGCAAACACGAAAGUGGACGUAUACGGUGUGACGCCUGCCCGGUGCCGGAAGGUUAAUUGAUGGGGUUAGCUGUAAGGCGAAGCUCUUGAUCGAAGCCCCGGUAAACGGCGGCCGUAACUAUAACGGUCCUAAGGUAGCGAAAUUCCUUGUCGGGUAAGUUCCGACCUGCACGAAUGGCGUAAUGAUGGCCAGGCUGUCUCCACCCGAGACUCAGUGAAAUUGAACUCGCUGUGAAGAUGCAGUGUACCCGCGGCAAGACGGAAAGACCCCGUGAACCUUUACUAUAGCUUGACACUGAACACUGGUCCUUGAUGUGUAGGAUAGGUGGGAGGCUUUGAAGCGUGGACGCCAGUCUGCGUGGAGCCGCCCUUGAAAUACCACCCUUUAAUGGCUGGUGUUCUAACGUAGACCCGUAAUCCGGGUUGCGGACAGUGUCUGGUGGGUAGUUUGACUGGGGCGGUCUCCUCCCAAAGAGUAACGGAGGAGCACGAAGGUUGGCUAAUCCUGGUCGGACAUCAGGAGGUUAGUGCAAUGGCAUAAGCCAGCUUGACUGCGAGCGUGACGGCGCGAGCAGGUGCGAAAGCAGGUCAUAGUGAUCCGGUGGUUCUGAAUGGAAGGGCCAUCGCUCAACGGAUAAAAGGUACUCCGGGGAUAACAGGCUGAUACCGCCCAAGAGUUCAUAUCGACGGCGGUGUUUGGCACCUCGAUGUCGGCUCAUCACAUCCUGGGGCUGAAGUAGGUCCCAAGGGUAUGGCUGUUCGCCAUUUAAAGUGGUACGCGAGCUGGGUUUAGAACGUCGUGAGACAGUUCGGUCCCUAUCUGCCGUGGGCGCUGGAGAAUUGAGGGGGGCUGCUCCUAGUACGAGAGGACCGGAGUGGACGCAUCACUGGUGUUCGGGUUGUCAUGCCAAUGGCACUGCCCGGUAGCUAAAUGCGGAAGAGAUAAGUGCUGAAAGCAUCUAAGCACGAAACUUGCCCCGAGAUGAGUUCUCCCUGAGACUUUAAGUCUCCUGAAGGAACGUUAAAGACGAUGACGUUGAUAGGUCGGGUGUGUAAGCGCAGCGAUGCGUUGAGCUAACCGAUACUAAUGAACCGUGAGGCUUAACCUU
rnacentral:rRNA from 1 species